rnacentral:tRNA from 1 species
UCCCUGGUGGUCCAAAGGUUAAGACUCUGCAUUUCCAAAGCAGGGGGCCUAGGUUUGAUGCCCAGUGGGGGAA